AGUCGCUUUGCAUGUGGGUUAGCAGUCCCUGACCAUGGUAAUGGAGGUGCACUAAUUACUUUGGUGGAUUUAAAUAGAGAAAAAGUUUGGUGUUUUGGACGUGGUAGAGAUGUUGUUCUUGACAUGCAGUUUAAGACUGAAGAAAAAUUGGUGACUUGUGGAAAGACUGUACAACUUUGGGAUAUCAGAUGCGGAGGAAGCCAAUGCUCCUUAAAAUAUUCCUUUAAAAGUUCGUAUGGCCCAAUGAAAUACAACUGUGUCAAGACAG